GAAGUGCGAUAAGCAAUGCGAAUUGCAGGAUUCCGCGAAUCAUCAGAUCUUUGAACGCAAAUGGCGCCAGAGGGAUAUCCUUCUGGCAUGUCUGUUUCAGUGUCUAUGAGGUUUCAUUGUAAUCUUAAUGUGAUUGAAUUCAGCUUGUAUUUAUAAAAUACUAGCUGCUCUUUUCUCUCAUGAAAGAUGCGUGAGGAGAUCUUUCGGUCCAAUGAACCGGUCACAUCACUCGUAUGUGAUUUCAUUGGAAGCACCGAAUUAUCAUUUAUAACUCGCGGUAUCACAAAAGCAAUUAUUAUUAGAUGUUUUAUGCAUCAAAUAAUAAUAUUCUCUAUACCCUGCAUCUGAGAUAGGCAAGAUCACCCGCUGAACUUAA
rnacentral:misc_RNA from 1 species